ACGCACGCUGGCGGCGUGCUUAACACAUGCCAGUCGCACGGAAAGGCCCUGCUUUUGUGGGGUGCUCGAGUGGCGAACGGGUGAGUAACACGUGAGUAACCUGCCCUUGACUUUGGGAUAACUUCAGGAAACUGGGGCUAAUACCGGAUAGGAGCUCCUGCUGCAUGGUGGGGGUUGGAAAGUUUCGGCGGUUGGGGAUGGACUCGCGGCUUAUCAGCUUGUUGGUGGGGUAGUGGCUUACCAAGGCUUUGACGGGUAGCCGGCCUGAGAGGGUGACCGGCCACAUUGGGACUGAGAUACGGCCCAGACUCCUACGGGAGGCAGCAGUGGGGAAUAUUGCACAAUGGGCGGAAGCCUGAUGCAGCAACGCCGCGUGCGGGAUGACGGCCUUCGGGUGGUAAACCGCUUUCGCCUGUGACGAAGCGUGAGUGACGGUAAUGGGUAAAGAAGCACCGGCUAACUACGG
rnacentral:rRNA from 1 species